GACGAACGCUGGCGGCGUGCUUAACACAUGCAAGUCGAGCGGUAAGGCCCUUUCGGGGGGUACACGAGCGGCGAACGGGUGAGUAACACGUGGGUGACCUGCCCUCAGCUCUGGGAUAAGCCUGGGAAGCCGGGUCUAAUACUGGAUAUGACUCCAUGACGCAUGUUGUGGGGUGGAAAGCCUUGUGCGGCUGAGGAUGGGCCCGCGGCCUAUCAGCUUGUUGGUGGGGGUGAUGGCCUACCAAGGCGACGACGGGUAGCCGGCCUGAGAGGGCGACCGGCCACACUGGGACUGAGACACGGCCCAGACUCCUACGGGAGGGCAGCAGUGGGGAAUCUUGCGCAAUGGGCGAAAGCCUGACGCAGCGACGCCGCGUGAGGGAUGACGGCCU
rnacentral:rRNA from 1 species